GACGAACGCUGGCGGCGUGCUUAACACAUGCAAGUCGAACGCAAAGGCUUGGUGCUUGCGCGGUGCGCGUGAGUGGCGCACGGGUGAGUAACACGUGUAUACCCUCCCCUUCACUCUGAGAUAAUCAGGGGAAACGGGCUCUAAUCCUGGAUACGACAUGUCACCGCAGUGUGGUGUGGGGAGAUUCUGUUAGUGGUUUUGGAUUGGCUGACGGCCUAGCAGCUUGUUGGGUGGUUACUGGCCAACGAAGGCGACGACGGGUAGCCGGCCUGAGAGGGUGACCGGCCACAUGGGGACUGAGACACGGCCCAGACUCCUACGGGAGGCAGCAGUGGGGAAUAUUGCACAAUGGGCGGAAGCCUGAUGCAGCGACGCCGCGUGCGGGAUGACGGCCUUCGGGUUGUAAACCGCUUUCGGCUGGGAAGAAGCGAGAGUGACGGUACGGGGAGAAGAAGCGCCGGCUAACUACGUG
rnacentral:rRNA from 1 species